ACUCAUACCUUGCAGGGGAAAUACCAUAGUCAUGAAAGUGGUUUUUCCAGGAUAAGACUCAUUGAUUGCACUUUGGGUGUGCUGAUCCCUAUGAUUUCCCCAAGUGUACGGAAUUCAACUGCAUAAUUUGUGUUAUAAGGGGAUUGUAUUUAUGAUUUCCCA
rnacentral:snRNA from 1 species